rnacentral:rRNA from 1 species
GACGAACGCUGGCGGCGUGCCUAAUACAUGCAAGUCGAACGAAACUUUCUUACACCGAAUGCUUGCAUUCAUCGUAAGAAGUUGAGUGGCGGACGGGUGAGUAACACGUGGGUAACCUGCCCAAAAGAAGGGGAUAACAUUUGGAAACAAAUGCUAAUACCGUAUAACCAUGAUGACCGCAUGGUCAUUAUGUAAAAGGUGGUUUUGCUAUCGCUUUUGGAUGGACCCGCGGCGUAUUAACUAGUUGGUAGGGUAACGGCCUACCAAGGUGAUGAUACGUAGCCGAACUGAGAGGUUGAUCGGCCACAUUGGGACUGAGACACGGCCCAAACUCCUACGGGAGGCAGCAGUAGGGGAAUCUUCCACAAUGGGCGCAAGCCUGAUGGAGCAACGCCGCGUGAAUGAAGGAGGUCUUCGGAUCGUAAAAUUUCUGUUGUUAGAGAAGAAUAUG